GUUGCGGUGGCAGAGGGGUUAAGGCGUUGGACUCGAAAUCCAAUGGGAUCUUCCAGUGACGGUUCGAAUCCUGCAGCAACG
rnacentral:tRNA from 1 species